AGUGAACGCUGGCGGUAGGCCUAACACAUGCAAGUCGAACGGCAGCACAGUAAGAGCUUGCUCUUACGGGUGGCGAGUGGCGGACGGGUGAGGAAUACAUCGGAAUCUACUUUUUCGUGGGGGAUAACGUAGGGAAACUUACGCUAAUACCGCAUACGACCUACGGGUGAAAGCAGGGGAUCUUUGGACCUUGCGCGAUUGAAUGAGCCGAUGUCGGAUUAGCUAGUUGGCGGGGUAAAGGCCCACCAAGGCGACGAUCCGGAGCUGGUCUGAGAGGAUGAUCAGCCACACUGGAACUGGGACACGGUCCAGACUCCUACGGGAGGCAGCAGUGGGGAAUAUUGGACAAUGGGCGCAAGCCUGAUCCAGCCAUACCGCGUGGGUGAAGAAGGCCUUCGGGUUGUAAAGCCCUUUUGUUGGGAAAGAAAAGCAGCAGGUUAAUACCCCGCUGUUCUGACGGUACCCAAAGAAUAAGCACCGGCUAACUUCGUG
rnacentral:rRNA from 1 species